rnacentral:rRNA from 1 species
UAAGCGUGCGCAGGCGGUUUUGUAAGACUGUCGUGAAAUCCCCGGGCUCAACCUGGGAAUGGCGAUGGUGACUGCAAGGCUAGAGUUUGGCAGAGGGGGGUAGAAUUCCACGUGUAGCAGUGAAAUGCGUAGAUAUGUGGAGGAACACCGAUGGCGAAGGCAGCCCCCUGGGUCAAAACUGACGCUCAUGCACGAAAGCGUGGGGAGCAAACAGGAUUAGAUACCCUAGU